rnacentral:rRNA from 1 species
AGACCAAAGAGGGGGACCUUCGGGCCUCUUGCCAUCGGAUGUGCCCAGAUGGGAUUAGCUAGUAGGUGGGGUAAAGGCUCACCUAGGCGACGAUCCCUAGCUGGUCUGAGAGGAUGACCAGCCACACUGGAACUGAGACACGGUCCAGACUCCUACGGGAGGCAGCAGUGGGGAAUAUUGCACAAUGGGCGCAAGCCUGAUGCAGCCAUGCCGCGUGUAUGAAGAAGGCCUUCGGGUUGUAAAGUACUUUCAGCGGGGAGGAAGGGAGUAAAGUUAAUACCUUUGCUCAUUGACGUUACCCACAGAAGAAGCACCGGCUAACUCCGUGCCAGCAGCCGCGGUAAUACGGAGGGUGCAAGCGUUAAUCGGAAUUACUGGGCGUAAAGCGCACGCAGGCGGUUUGUUAAGUCAGAUGUGAAAUCCCCGGGCUCAACCUGGGAACUGCAUCUGAUACUGGCAAGCUUGAGUCUCGUAGAGGGGGGUAGAAUUCCAGGUGUAGCGG